rnacentral:rRNA from 1 species
UGGGGAAUAUUGCGCAAUGGGGGGAACCCUGACGCAGCCAUGCCGCGUGAAUGAAGAAGGCCUUCGGGUUGUAAAGUUCUUUCGGUAUUGAGGAAGGUUGAUGUGUUAAUAGUACAUCAAAUUGACGUUAAAUACAGAAGAAGCACCGGCUAACUCCGUGCCAGCAGCCGCGGUAAUACGGAGGGUGCGAGCGUUAAUCGGAAUAACUGGGCGUAAAGGGCACGCAGGCGGUUAUUUAAGUGAGGUGUGAAAGCCCCGGGCUUAACCUGGGAAUUGCAUUUCAGACUGGGUAACUAGAGUACUUUAGGGAGGGGUAGAAUUCCACGUGUAGCGGUGAAAUGCGUAGAGAUGUGGAGGAAUACCGAAGGCGAAGGCAGCCCCUUGGGAAUGUACUGACGCUCAUGUGCGAAAGCGUGGGGAGCAAACAGGAUUAGAUACCCUGGUAGUCCACGCUGUAAACGCUGUCGAUUUGGGGGUUGGGGUUUAACUCUGGCACCCGUAGCUAACGUGAUAAAUCGACCGCCUGGGGAGUACGGCCGCAAGGUUA